rnacentral:rRNA from 1 species
GAUGAACGCUGGCGGCGUGCCUAAUACAUGCAAGUCGAACGAACAGACGCGGAGCUUGCUCCUCUCAAUUUAGCGGCGGACGGGUGAGUAACACGUGGAUAACCUACCUAUCAGACUGGGAUAACUUCGGGAAACCGAAGCUAAUACCGGAUAAUAUAUUGAACCGCAUGGUUCAAUAGUGAAAGACGGUUUUGCUUUCACUUAUAGAUGGAUCCGCGCUGCAUUAGCUAGUUGGUAAGGUAACGGCUUACCAAGGCAGCGAUGCAUAGCCGACCUGAGAGGGUGAUCGGCCACAUUGGAACUGAGACACGGUCCAGACUCCUACGGGAGGCAGCAGUAGGGAAUCUUCCGCAAUGGGCGAAAGUCUGACGGAGCAACGCCGCGUGAGUGAUGAAGGUUUUCGGAUCGUAAAACUCUGUUGUUAGAGAAGAACAAGUGCGUAAGUAACUGUGAGCGUCUUGACGGUACCUAACCAGAAAGCCACGGCUAACUACGUG